AUUGAACGCUGGCGGCAGGCCUAACACAUGCAAGUCGAACGGUAACAGGAAGCAGCUUGCUGCUUCGCUGACGAGUGGCGGACGGGUGAGUAAUGUCUGGGAAGCUGCCUGAUGGAGGGGGAUAACUACUGGAAACGGUAGCUAAUACCGCAUAAUGUCGCAAGACCAAAGAGGGGGACCUUCGGGCCUCUUGCCAUCGGAUGUGCCCAGAUGGGAUUAGCUUGUUGGUGGGGUAACGGCUCACCAAGGCGACGAUCCCUAGCUGGUCUGAGAGGAUGACCAGCCACACUGGAACUGAGACACGGACCAGACUCCUACGGGAGGCAGCAGUGGGGAAUAUUGCACAAUGGGCGCAAGCCUGAUGCAGCCAUGCCGCGUGUAUGAAGAAGGCCUUCGGGUUGUAAAGUACUUUCAGCGGGGAGGAAGGGAGUAAAGUUAAUACCUUUGCUCAUUGACGUUACCCGCAGAAGAAGCACCGGCUAACUCCGUG
rnacentral:rRNA from 1 species